CAGCAGCGCCCGGUCCCGUGCGGAGGUACUCCUAGCGGUGUUGUUUCUCCAGCAGCGGCAGCUCUUCACUACAGCGCCAGGACGAGUCCGGUUGGUGUUCGUCCGUGGAGAUCUCUCUCAUCUCGCUCGGCUGCAGGAAAUCGGGCCGAAGCGACUGAGUCCGCGAUGGAGAAAACUUUAGAAACUGUUCCUUUGGAGAGGAAAAAGAGAGAAAAGGAACAGUUCCGUAAGCUCUUUAUUGGUGGCUUAAGCUUUGAAACCACAGAAGAAAGUUUGAGGAACUAUUAGGAACAAUGGGGAAAGCUUACAGACUGUGUGGUAAUGAGGGAUCCUGCAAGCAAAAGAUCAAGAGGAUUUGGUUUUGUAACUUUCUCAUUCAUGGCUGAGGUUGAUGCUGCCAUGGCUGCAAGACCUCAUUCAAUUGAUGGGAGAGUAGUUGAGCCAAAACGUGUAGUAGGAAGAGAGGAAUCUGGAAAACCAGGGGCAUGUGUAACUGUGAAGAAGCUGUUUGUUGGCAGAAUUAAAGAAGAUACUGAGAAACAUCACCUUAGAGAUUACUUUGAGGAAUAUGGAAAAAUUGAUACUAUUGAGAUAAUUACUGAUAGACAGUCUGGAAAGAAAAGAGGCUUUGGCUUUGUUACUUUUGAUGACCACGAUCCUGUGGAUAAAAUCAUAUUGCAGAAAUACCAUACCAUCAAUGGUCAUAAUGCAGAAUUAAGAAAGGCUUUGUCUAGACAAGAAAUGCAGGAAGUUCAGAGUUCUAAGAGUGGAAGAGGAGGCAACUUCGGCUUCGGGGAUUCACGUGGUGGUGGUGGAAAUUUCGGACCAGGACCAGGAAGUAACUUUAGAAGAGGAUCUGAUGGAUAUGGCAGUGGACGUGGAUUUGGGAAUGGCUAUAAUGGGUAUGGAGGAGGACCUGAAGGUGGCAAUUUUGGAGGUAGCCCCGGUUAUGGAGGAGGAAGAGGAGGAUAUGGUGGUGGAGGACCUGGAUAUGGCAACCAGGGUGGGGGCUACGGAGGUGGUUAUGACAACUACGGAGGAGGAAAUUACGGAAGUGGAAAUUACAAUGAUUUUGGAAAUUAUAACCAGCAACCUUCACACUACGGUCCAAUGAAGAGUGGAAACUUUUGUGGUAGCAGGAACAUGGGGGGACCAUAUGGUGGAGGAAACUAUGGUCCAGGAGGCAGUGGAGGAAGUGGGGGUUAUGGUGGGAGGAGCCGUUACUGAGCUUCUUCCUAUAUGCCAUGGGCUUCACUGUAUAAAUAGGAGAGGAUGAGAGCCCAGAGGUAACAGAACAGCUUCAGCUUAUCGAAAUAACAAUGUUAAGGAAACUCUUAUCUCAGUCAUGCAUAAAUAUGCAGUGAUAUGGCAGAAGACACCAGAGCAGAUGCAGAGAGCCAUUUUGUGAAUGGAUUGGAUUAUUUAAUAACAUUACCUUACUGUGGAGGAAGGAUUGUAAAAAAAAAUGCCUUUGAGACAGUUUCUUAGCUUUUUAAUUGUUGUUUCUUUCUAGUGGUCUUUGUAAGAGUGUAGAAGCAUUCCUUCUUUGAUAAUGUUAAAUUUGUAAGUUUCAGGUGACAUGUGAAACCUUUUUUAAGAUUUUUCUCAAAGUUUUGAAAAGCUAUUAGCCAGGAUCAUGGUGUAAUAAGACAUAACGUUUUUCCUUUAAAAAAUUUAAGUGCGUGUGUAGAGUUAAGAAGCUGUUGUACAUUUAUGAUUUAAUAAAAUAAUUCUAAAGGAAAAAAA